AACGAACGCUGGCGGCAUGCCUAACACAUGCAAGUCGAACGAGACCUUCGGGUCUAGUGGCGCACGGGUGCGUAACGCGUGGGAACCUGCCCUUAGGUUCGGAAUAACUCCCCGAAAGGGGUGCUAAUACCGGAUAAUGUCCUCGGACCAAAGAUUUAUCGCCUUUGGAUGGGCCCGCGUUGGAUUAGCUAGUUGGUAGGGUAAAAGCCUACCAAGGGGACGAUCCAUAGCUGGUCUGAGAGGAUGAUCAGCCACACUGGGACUGAGACACGGCCCAGACUCCUACGGGAGGCAGCAGUGGGGAAUAUUGGACAAUGGGCGAAAGCCUGAUCCAGCAAUGCCGCGUGAGUGAUGAAGGCCUUAGGGUUGUAAAGCUCUUUUACCCGGGAUGAUAAUGACAGUACCGGGAGAAUAAGCUCCGGCUAACUCCGUG
rnacentral:rRNA from 1 species